rnacentral:rRNA from 1 species
GGAUGAACGCUGGCGGCGUGCCUAAUACAUGCAAGUCGAGCGAACAGACGAGAGUGCUUGCACUCUCUGACGUUAGCGGCGGACGGGUGAGUAACACGUGGGUAACCUACCUAUAAGACUGGGAUAACUUCGGGAAACCGGAGCUAAUACCGGAUAAUAUUUAGCUUCGCAUGAAGCAAUAGUGAAAGACGGUUCUGCUGUCACUUAUAGAUGGACCCGCGGUGUAUUAGCUAGUUGGUGAGGUAACGGCUCACCAAGGCAACGAUACAUAGCCGACCUGAGAGGGUGAUCGGCCACACUGGGACUGAGACACGGCCCAGACUCCUACGGGAGGCAGCAGUAGGGAAUCUUCCGCAAUGGACGAAAGUCUGACGGAGCAAUGCCGCGUGAGUGAAGAAGGUUUUCGGAUCGUAAAACUCUGUUGUAAGGGAAGAACAAGUACGUUAGUAACUGAACGUACCUUGACGGUACCUGACCAGAAAGCCACGGCUAACUACGUG